GAUGAACGCUGGCGGCGUGCUUAACACAUGCAAGUCGCGGGGCAGCAUGUAUCUGGCUUGCCAGAUGCGAUGGCGACCGGCGCACGGGUGAGUAACGCGUAUCCAACCUGCCCAUAACCACGGCACAGCCCGUCGAAAGGCGGAUUAAUGCCGUAUGAGGUUCCAGUGUAGCAUUAUGGUGGAACGAAAGGAUUUGGCGGUUAUGGAUGGGGAUGCGUCCGAUUAGCUUGUUGGCGGGGUAACGGCCCACCAAGGCGACGAUCGGUAGGGGUUCUGAGAGGAAGGUCCCCCACACUGGAACUGAGACACGGGUCCAGACUCCUACGGGAGGCAGCAGUGAGGAAUAUUGGGUCAAUGGGGCGGAAGCCUGAACCAGCCAAGUAGCGUGCAGGAUGACGGCCC
rnacentral:rRNA from 1 species